AUGAUAUUAACAUUCGGUUUUUUCCUUCCAGUCUUUUCUCCUUGCAAAGUUUAUGUUUUAUUAUUAGUAUCUUUCCAUGCAUACAAUUACAUAUUCUGCUUAUUUAUCUUAACAUUAGAUCAUAAGCAGGUCUCUCCUUUUUUGACAAUUUUUAAAUUUUUAAAAAAGUUAUUGAAGGAAUAUAUUGCCAACAUUUAAUCUAGAAAUAGAUUUGUGAGUCAUACAGUCUGUUUUUAUAAUUUGAAUCCCAAUAAUUCUGGCAAUUAAUCCAUUGAGUCUAAGAUUAUGAUCUCUUUGCUUAUUUCAACAUAUUUUGAUAAGAUCUCUGCUAUUUAUUCUGUGGCUAUAUAUAAUUUCCCUGAGUCCCACUUUCUACCUCUAUAUUAUUGAGAUAAUGGUAUGCACUCAUGGGAUUGAUAUGGAGUUUCAAUGAGCUAUCAUGUGAAGUAUCAGUAUGUGUGAAAUAUACCAGCCUACACAGGUAAUGACUCAUCCAAGAUUAGUCUCAUUUUUCAAUCUCCAGAUCCUUAUCGUAGUUUUUUACUCCAGGUAGAGCUUUUCCUGUUUCUCAGACGUUAUGCAGCAAUACAAAAUAAUUUUGGAGAAUCACUGAUCCCCUUUAUUCCACACCUAAAUUAUGUGAAGUUAUACAGAAUCCCUUUCCUGGAAACAAGUGGUAUUAAUGGAGGUUGUCAUUAAACAGGGUAAAGUAAUGCGUAUUUAUACAUUGGAAUAUUUAAAUCAAUUCUUAGUAGGAGCAAGGUGAAUGUUAAUUAACUCCUUAACUUAUCUGCAUGGUGCCACCAAUCCCCAUUUCUGUACUUUUGGUAUUGCAUGCCUAAUCCCUAAAAAAUGUUGAUGCUAUCAGACUUAACUGUUUUUUCUUAUUUCUCCUCACCAAAUAUGGUUCAUUUGGUUAUGAUCAGAUCAGAUUGCCAAUCCCCCCACUCCACUCACCCUGCAUCCACAAAAAUGCUUCCAUGCUGUUUCUCUUCUCAAGUUCCUGAAUCCUGUUGCCUCUAAUUCUUUUCUGUGAUUAAGGCAUGGGUGACUAGAUGUUUAGAAAAAAAAUGUAUUUAUUUCCUAUUAUUCAAGGGGUACUCUUUUUCUUUCUUCUAUGGAAAAUGCUUUCUUUCUCCAUUAACUGGCACACACAUGCAUGCACACAUAAAGCCUCUAUCCUCUGAUUUCCCCCACCAUUGUAAAGGAGGAAAAUAAACGUUAAGCGCCAUGAAUGAAAUUGAAAUUCAGCUAGAAGACAAGAAAUCAUGCAGUUGUUUCCCUAAAACCAGUCCCCUUCCCUGAUGAUGAUAUGAACAUGAGUAUAGGAAACAAAAAAGGUGUCAGUGCCUCUCUGGUACUCAUAAUCUUGGGUAAAGAUCAACUGUAGAGUCUAGAAUUAUCUCACAAUUGGCUUCCUCUUGUUUCCUUUCUUAUUUCAGUUUUUUAGGACUGAUGCAUGGAUAUAAUUAAUUGUUAUACUAUUAGAAUUGUUUUGCAAAUUUGUCCUUAACAUGUGAUCCUGACUGGCUGGCUGAUGAGCCAGGGUAUCUACAGAAUGACAUUUAUUCAGAGGACCUCACCAGUGUUUAUGAUCUAACUUCCAGCCCUUCAUGGGUUCAGAAGGCAGCUUUUGUCUCCACACUAGAAGUGGGUGGAAAAAUAAUAACCAACUUGGUAGAUAAUGAUGGAUGAACUUUAUGUGGAAAGGAUUCAUGGGUACAAGGGAAACAUAAUUAAAAAUGAAAAUGUCAAAUUUCAAGAAUCAAGAAAAAAUUCUAAAUAUAUCAUGCAUUAAAACAAUAAUAACAAUCAACUAACCAACAAUUAAAACAGGUAUUUAAAAAGGAAAAGGAAAAUCUGGAUGGCCUUCAGAUUUCUUUGUAAUGUUAGAUGCUAGAAGAAAAUGAAGCAAUGAUUACAGCAAUUCCACAGAAAAGGUUAUGCCCCCCCCAAAUUCUAUCCUUAGCCAAGUUGUCAUUCAUUUGAAAGCAUGCAACAAUUCAAGACUAUAGCAUUUAUGCCCAUUCUUUAAAAAGCAAAAUUCUUUAAGAGGAAAGAAAAUAAAUGAACUAGUCAAGAUAAAUGGAAAAGAAUAGCAAAACAAAUACAAAGGAAUAAGAACAACUUGAUAAAGAAUAAAAGACAAUUUUAUAACUUAGAAAACAGAGUAGGGGUGCCUGGGUGGCUCAGUGGGUUGAGCAUCCAACUCUUGGCUUUGGUUCAGGUCCUGAUUUCAGGUUCUGGGAUUGAGCCCCACAUCAAGCUCUGUGCUUAGCAUGGAGUCUGCUUGUCCCUCUCCCUCCCCCUCUGUUCCUCCCCACUAUAAAUAAAUAAAAUUUAAAAAGGAUACCCUAAACUUAAAAAAAAUAAAAAAAACCAGAGUAUACUUUAUAUUAAAUUUCAAGAGCUUGUUUUGUGAAAAACAAUAGUAUAGACAAAAAGAUCACAUAAUCUAAUUAGAUGAAAAAAUAUGCAAACUUAGCAACUUAUAAUAUACUUGGUUUAUUUAAGCAAAUUAAACCAAUUAUACAGAAAUGCUUUGUAAGAUUCUAGUCUAUUAAACUUCAGAAUCUCAUUAAAAUAUAUAAUUUUGUGACACAUUACCAAAUUGGCACAUAAAAAGAUAAAAGGUAUUGAUUGAUAUCAGUAACUCUAAAUCAAGAGAUUGUGUGAAGAACAAGCCCCAGGAAAGAUGUCAGCCUGAAUGGUUUAACCACUAUUUUCUGGUCCUUCAAGAGAUAAAUAAUACUGAUAUUAUUUAAACUUUACAGAACACAAGACAAAAAAAAAAAAAAACCUUACAGUAAUUUUAUUUAUUUUUACAUGGAUAGUGUAAGCCUAAUAGGCAGAUUUUGAAAGAGAUGGCACAGAAUAAAAAACAAAUAAAAAACUUGAAUUCUCUUUUAUACAUAAAGCAAAUAUCUUAAAUAAUAUAUUAGAAAUACAAAUCCAGCAGUAUAUUCAAUGAAUAAUUCACCAUGACUAAGUAGAAUUUAUUCUAGUAAAGGGAGUAUGUGUACAAGAUUAAGAAAUCUAUUAAUGUAAUUUAUGAUAUUGGUAGGUUAAGGGAGAAAACAUUUUCAUAUUUGUCAUAUAUGCAUUUGAAAAAAUUUAACAUUAUGAUUUAAAAAAACAAAAUCUUGGACUUUAGGAAUAAAUAAUCCAUCUUGAACACGAGUGGAGUUGGGGGGCUGAUCUCCAGCAAAGACUAGUUCCCAGUUUACCAAAGACGCACUGGAUUAGAUGAAGUUGGGUGAAGUAAGACAAUACCUAAUGCCAUUCUUUCUAUUUAGCAUAGUUUUGGAAAUGCUCGUUUAUGCAAAUAGAAAUGAAAAUAACAGCAAAUAAAAGAAAUAUGAAAAUUGGAAAGGAUGAAGUCAUUACUUACUUAUGGGAAAUAUAAUGAGAUCUUAAUGAAAAACUAAUACAAUUCACUGAAACCAGGUGUUGGAAGAAAUAAGAGUUCAAAAGAUUUCAAUAAUUGUUUUUUAAAAUAAUUGUUUUACUAAAUAACAACAAUCAUUAGCUAGAUAAUAAAUUGGAAAGCAAAUCUCACUUUUAGUAGUAUUGAAAAUUUAACAGAUUACCUGAGAAAAUGUUUAACAUGUCCUGAAGCCAAAAUAGAAUUCUACUAUGUGGUUGUGUCCUGCUUUUAAAAAAGAUCAGUUCCAACUUUAGUUCUUCCCCUUACUUGUGAGGUGACCAGUUAACUAACCCCAAUUGCAUCCUCUCAUGCAAAACCAAGAAACCAUCUUAUGAGGGUUUUAUGAAGGUCAAAUGAGACAAUGCACCCAAAUAUGCUCAAUAAAUACUGGAACAUAGAUUCUAUUAUUGAGAACAUUCUAGAACUUUAUUGGCACAUGGUAACAAUCCAUCCUGGGCAAAGCUUAUCAGGCACACAGAUAUGUAUGCAUAAAGAGUAUGCAUAAGUGUGUUCUUUGUGCUUUUGCUUUAAUAGAAAAAAACUAGAAACGAUUAUACAUCAAAAAUAGAUGAUCGAUGAAAUAUAUUAUUUUACAUCUAAAUCAUGUAAUAUUUACAUUCAUUUAAAAAUAUGACAACACGUCCAUUGAUAUUAUAUGAA
rnacentral:lncRNA from 1 species